CCGUGUAGAAGGGUAGUUAGAAGAAGAAGAAGAAGAAGGGUAGUCUCGUUCACCCGUUCGGUUGCUCACUCCUUCCCUUGACUUGCUGAGCACGCCUGGUAACAUCAAUAUGGCUGAAAGUCAAAUGAGUGCGAUGAGCGGUAUGAGCUCCAUGUCUGGGAUGUCUGGUAUGUCUGGGAUAUCGACAGACAUAACCCAGGACAAAGGCGAGUGAAGUGGCAUCAGCACAACUCUCAA